ensembl:lncRNA
AAGUGGCAGCGGGCAGCUCCUGGCCACAGAGCCUGCACCGCGUGGAGGCAGAGGGUCCUGCCGGGGAGGCCAGGGUGCCCCUGGGUCGCAAAGCAGGUGGGCUGCUGGAGGUUUGGCAAGUGCCCCUCCUGCCUUGCUGUGGGUGGGGAGAGGUGGGAGAGCUGAGCUCCUGGCAGCCAGGGCUUCAUGUAUAUUCAGGCGAGGCGGGGCCCAGAGCCUUGUUCCCGUAAUUGACAAGUGCACGGGCUGCCUCCCUGCCUCCCCUGCCUGUGCCCUGGGAUCCCGCAGGCAGGGGCGGGGGUGUGUGUGCGGGUGGAGGGUGUGGGCCUGCUGCUGGCCAGGUGUGCAUCCAUAUUUAUCAGGGGUGUGCCCCUGGGAAGCAGCCGGAUGCUGAGCGCGCCGGGCAAUCUGCCUGGGCCAGCUGCUCCACUCCCGGCCAGCCGGCGGAAGCCCCCAGCCUGAAGAGCGGCCCUGGAAUUCCGGGGCUUGCUGAUGCCUGUGGGGGUAAAUGCUUGGCCCCCACCAGGAAGCUAACAGGCACACACUCCUGAGAAGUUAAGAAAGACCGAACUUUGACCCAGAGAUGGAAUAGCUGGAGGUUACACAGCGAUUUGAUGAGGGGCCCAGCUGGACUCUGCUGCCUGGUGAUUCCUGGGACAGUGGGGUGGGGCGGGAGGGUGGCCUGGCCAUGCCGAGGGGCCGUUGAGGGGGGCCUGCGUGCAGCCUGUGCGAGUCACAGCCCCAGCCCCACAAAGCGCCUUGCACUUGGCAGGGAGUCCUCUCACCUGCCACCUCCCGUCUUCCCGGCACCUGGCAGGCACCUGCCAGGGAACGUCACAAAGUUAGUUCAAGAUGGAGUUUCAAGGAUGUAUAAAUCACCACCUCCUGGAAGCCUUCUGUGAUUAAGUCCAUUCAUUCAACACAAAUUUGUGGUGUGGUUGUCACAUGCCAGGCACAAUAAUGGACACUGGGAAUGCUGUAGUGAAGGAGGUACGUUUCUGUUCCUGUAAAGUGAGAGACAGGAAGUGUGUGUGACGAGUAGGGGGCAAGUCUCUGGAGGUGCGGGGAGCAUGAGCUGGUUUUCAAAGGAGAGAACCCUGAGAUGCAGGGGGAGCCCCAGUCCGCCCCGGCUCACCUUGUGCCCAGACUCGGGCGCUUGCCCACCUCGGAGCUCCUUUCCACACCUGUGAAGGAAAAGGGCCUUUCCCUGGCGAAUUACUGUGUUACUCCUUAGAAGCAGAUUUACUUUCAGACAAAUUUAUAGACACAUAUUAGUUCUUGUGACUUUGGCAUUGCAGAAAAAUGUGAAAUUCCAAUUAAGCACAGAGGGGCAAAAAGGAAACAUAGUCCCAGAAUAAUCAGCGUGAAACCAUGCCUGUCACCCACAGUCCCGCCUCUCAGGGCUACGGCCCCUGGCAUUUUGGGGGUCGCAGCUAUAGUUGAAGCUGGUGGCAAACCCUCUCCCUAGGUCCUCAAAAAUGCUUUCUCUUCCACUCGCCUGCCUCCUUCUUGCUUGCCCUGGGAUGGGGCAGGGAGAAGGGACAAGCUCAGGUGCC